rnacentral:rRNA from 1 species
CCUACGGGUGGCAGCAGUGGGGAAUAUUGGGCAAUGGGCGCAAGCCUGACCCAGCAACGCCGCGUGAAGGAAGAAGGCUUUCGGGUUGUAAACUUCUUUUAUUGAGGACGAAACAAAUGACGGUACUCAAUGAAUAAGCCACGGCUAACUACGUGCCAGCAGCCGCGGUAAUACGUAGGUGGCAAGCGUUAUCCGGAUUUACUGGGUGUAAAGGGCGUGUAGGCGGGACUGCAAGUCAGAUGUGAAACCCAUGGGCUCAACCCAUGGCCUGCAUUUGAAACUGUAGUUCUUGAGUGAUGGAGAGGCAGGCGGAAUUCCGUGUGUAGCGGUGAAAUGCGUAGAUAUACGGAGGAACACCAGUGGCGAAGGCGACUAUCUGGCACAUAACUGACGCUGAGGAGCGAAAGCGUGGGUAGCAAACAGGAUUAGAUACCCCGGUAGUC